UUCCUGGCCGCCGAGAGCAGCUCCGGCUGCGCUGGUGCAACUGAAAACCGAUCGUCGCCCGAAGUUUUUUUUUUCCUUCGCUGUGAAAGCGAGACAGUUCUGGGGAAGGCAAAUCGCCACCUGCAUCACCGACGCCAGCGACAACUGACGAACAAGCAAGGACCGAGGGGGCGUCUCCCCGCAUUUGGCAGCAGCGGCAGCCACCGGCACGCACGACAAGUGAAAUCUACUCUGUAUAUUUACAGCGUCCUUCGCCUGUGGACCAAAGUUCCUGGCCGCCGAGAGCAGCUCCGGCUGCGCUGGUGCAACUGAAAACCGAUCGUCGCCCGAAGUUUUUUUUUUCCUUCGCUGUGAAAGCGAGACAGUUCUGGGGAAGGCAAAUCGCCACCUGCAUCACCGACGCCAGCGACAACUGACGAACAAGCAAGGACCGAGGGGGCGUCUCCCCGCAUUUGGCAGCAGCGGCAGCCACCGGCACGCACGACAAGUGAAAUCUACUCUGUAUAUUUACAGCGUCCUUCGCCUGUGGACCAAAGUUCCUGGCCGCCGAGAGCAGCUCCGGCUGCGCUGGUGCAACUGAAAACCGAUCGUCGCCCGAAUUUUUUUUUUCCUUCGCUGUGAAAGCGAGACAGUUCUGGGGAAGGCAAAUCGCCACCUGCAUCACCGACGCCAGCGACAACUGACGAACAAGCAAGGACCGAGGGGGCGUCUCCCCGCAUUUGGCAGCAGCGGCAGCCACCGGCACGCACGACAAGUGAAAUCUACUCUGUAUAUUUACAGCGUCCUUCGCCUGUGGACCAAAGUUCCUGGCCGCCGAGAGCAGCUCCGGCUGCGCUGGUGCAACUGAAAACCGAUCGUCGCCCGAAGUUUUUUUUUUCCUUCGCUGUGAAAGCGAGACAGUUCUGGGGAAGGCAAAUCGCCACCUGCAUCACCGACGCCAGCGACAACUGACGAACAAGCAAGGACCGAGGGGGCGUCUCCCCGCAUUUGGCAGCAGCGGCAGCCACCGGCACGCACGACAAGUGAAAUCUACUCUGUAUAUUUACAGCGUCCUUCGCCUGUGGACCAAAGUUCCUGGCCGCCGAGAGCAGCUCCGGCUGCGCUGGUGCAACUGAAAACCGAUCGUCGCCCGAAUUUUUUUUUUCCUUCGCUGUGAAAGCGAGACAGUUCUGGGGAAGGCAAAUCGCCACCUGCAUCACCGACGCCAGCGACAACUGACGAACAAGCAAGGACCGAGGGGGCGUCUCCCCGCAUUUGGCAGCAGCGGCAGCCACCGGCACGCACGACAAGUGAAAUCUACUCUGUAUAUUUACAGGUUGGUCGUCUUUACUAAUAAGGAUUAGACUCUUUUUUUGUUGCCGACCCUGCCGCUGCUGCCACGAGUACAUUGUUUUCCUGAAGUGUAUUUGCCUUUGCACCGCACGACAUGUCGAGAUGUUGUACAUGCCGCUCGCUCGUGCCUGAAA
rnacentral:lncRNA from 1 species